rnacentral:rRNA from 1 species
AUGGCAUGCACCAAUAUGGUGGUCGCGCUCAAGACGUCAGACAACUGGCAGAUCACUGAUGCAUCACUGCUCCGUUGGUGGAAGGAGCUGAAGCGCGCUGCACAGGAUUACACUGCCUGGGCUGUCCAAAGAUUCGAGAGGCCCGCCGACAGUGCUGCUGAAUUCAUGAGAUUUGUGCAGCUCGGAGGGACGCGGCGACAUAACCUGUUCUUCGACCCUCUCAUCAGGCAUAUUUUUGCCGGCCAAACACUUAUGUAUGAGGUGUUCUCUCUGAGAGGCCAGUAUCGCCACUUCACUACACAGCCAAUGGGUUUCGAGGAGCAUGGACUGGAGGCCUUGCUGUCCUUUAUAUACGAAGAUUACAAGCAACCCAAGAACAGUUUUUGGCUUGGGGUGAUGCUGCAUCUUUCGGAGAGUACAAACAAAAUCGGUACUACAGUAAAUUGCUUACGUCUGGUGACACCUCACUUCAAGUCCACAGCAGACGUUGUUAUCAAAGAGAUCACCCAACUCCCUACGCAAGAUUUCUCGUGUGUUGCUCAUAUGGAGCACUGGAACAACGUCCAUACAACUUUGACUCGAUGGUUCCGCCCGGAUCCACUGUGUUGUCAAGGAUACGAUUCUUGUCAUGACAACAGUGAAAGUAGCAGCAGAAAUGGUGGACAGAAACUGAGACUAUCAAGCAUAUUUCCGGAACUACUACCAGGGUCAACCACAACUUCUGGUUAUGACAACACCUAUUCUUUGGAGAAUUUUCUGCCCGUUGAAGCUUGGAAUUUUGCUCCUGCCUCAUGA